ensembl:lncRNA
CUCUCCUGCUAUCUUCUAAAUAAAAUAGAGCUGUAACACUGAUUUGCCUAAGAGCUGUAACACGGUUUGUCCAAGACCCGAGAGCUGUGAUGCGCCGAGGGCUCUAAUGUCCGUUGCUCCAAAUCUUUGUUGUGAUGAGACAAAGAACCGAGGAACAUACACUCGCGUGACAAAAUAAUGUGUUAAGGUUACAAGGAAAAUAUCUAAAGUGGACCUAGUUUCAUAGCCCCCAACAUACCUAGCCAACUUUGGAACCUAUGAAAGGUCCUCACAGAGUUGGACACGACUGAAGCGACUUAGCGGCAGCAGCAGCAGCAUGAUGAAAAGGACAUCUUUUUUUUUCCCUUGGGUUCCAAAAUCACUGUGAAUGGUGACUGCAGCCAUGAAAUUAAAAGACGCUUGCUCCUUGGAAGAAAAGCUAUGACAAACCUAGACAGCGUAUUAAAAAGAAGAGGCAUCACUUUGCCGACAAAUGUACACACAGUCAAAGCUAUGGUUUUUUCAAUAGUCAGGCAUGGACAUAAGAGCUGGACCAUAAAGAAGGCUGAGCAUCAAAGAAUUGAUGCUUUUCGAACUGUGGUGCUGGAGAAGACUCUUAAGAGUCCCUUGGACAGCAAGAAGAUCAAAACUGUCAAUCCUAAACGGGAAGAUCCCCUGGAGAAGGAAAUGGCAACCCACUCCAGGUAUUCUUAUCUGGAAAAUCCCUUGGACAGAGAAGCCUGGUGGACUAUAGUCCAAGGGGUCACAGAGAUUUGGACACAACUGAACGACUAACAUUUUCUUUCUUUAUUCUUUGGAAGGACUGAUGAUGAAGCUCCAAUACUUUGGCCACCUGUUGUGAAGAGCAGACUCAUUGUAAAAGACCCUGAUGCUGGGAAAGACUGAGGGCAAGAGGAGAAGUGGGCAGAGGAUCAGAUGACUGGAUGGCAUCACUGACUCAGUGGACAUGAGUUUGAGCAAACUCAGGGAGAUAGUGAAGGACAGGGAAGCCUGGUGUGGUACAGUUUGUGGG